rnacentral:rRNA from 1 species
GUCCACGCCGUAACGAUGGAUACUAGCUGUUGGGCGCAAGUUCAGUGGCUAAGCGAAAGUGAUAAGUAUCCCACCUGGGGAGUACGUUCGCAAGAAUGAACUCAAAGGAAUUGACGGGGCCCGCACAAGCGGUGGAGCAUGUGGUUUAAUUCGAUGAUACGCGAGGAACCUUACCAAGGCUUAAAUGUAGAUUGACCGAUUUGGAAACAGAUCUUUCGCAAGACAAUUUACAAGGUGCUGCAUGGUUGUCGU